UCUAUCCACUUUCAGAAGUCUCCAUCCUUACCCAUACCCACUGUUAACCGACAGCAAACUCAGCUUAUUACAUAUAUCGAAAGAAUCAUAGAACUGGAGGCGGCGGUGGCUAUGAAGGAGUCGGAGUAGAUCGUGUCGUGGAGGCGUGGCUUUGGUGAUCUGGAUGGAUUGCUGUGGCGGCGUGGCUAUGGAGGGUCUGGCGGGAUCGUGAUGGCCGACGUGGCUUGGUGGUUCUGGGCGGUUUCGUGGGGUGGUAGCGGCGGCGAGGUUUCUGGAUGAUGGUGGUCGGCGGCGCUGCACCGAGCUGUCCACAGAUUUUGGUUGGGUGAUGGUAUUUGGGUUGGGCUUGGAGCACCCUUUCCUGCUGGGCUGCGAGCUGGACUUCCUCUCUCUUGGAGCUCAUUGGGACAGAAAUUUGAUGGGCUAGGGUUUUGCUCUAGGCCCAUCUCUAUGUUUUUAGUUUGUCUAAUUCCAACAAAUUCCUUGUAUUUUCAGGGACC